rnacentral:rRNA from 1 species
UACGUAGGGUGCGAGCGUUGUCCGGAAUUAUUGGGCGUAAAGCGCGCGCAGGCGGUCCUUUAAGUCUGAUGUGAAAGCCCACGGCUCAACCGUGGAAGGUCAUUGGAAACUGGAGGACUUGAGUACAGAAGAGGAAAGCGGAAUUCCACGUGUAGCGGUGAAAUGCGUAGAGAUGUGGAGGAACACCAGUGGCGAAGGCGGCUUUCUGGUCUGUAACUGACGCUGAGGCGCGAAAGCGUGGGGAGCAAACAGG